rnacentral:tRNA from 1 species
AUUUAUAUAGUUUAAAAUAAAACAUUACAUUUUCACUGUAAAAAUAAAGGACACUUUUAUAAAUA